AUGGUGUUUCUUUGUAAUUUGUGGAUAUAUUCUUUGCCAUUAGUUCUCUUACCACUUCCUCCUUUUUACACAUUUAGAAAGAGAGACAGAGAGACAACGACCACAUUUACACAUUUAGAGAGAGACUGAGAGAACGACAUUAGAGAGAAACCGAUGAAAGAAGAGGAAGCCGAUAACCGCAACUCGAUGAAGGUGAAGAGGAACCCUAGCCGACAACCAGAUUGGCAGCGAUGGCGGCUAGGGUUCCAGUUUGGGGGUUUUGAAACCGAAUCGUGAAGGUGUUGAGGACGUCUGCAACCUUUAAGCACCAAGAAAUGAGGGCGACACAUAAGUGAGAGAGAAAGACGAUGGAAACCGUUUACGAUAGUGUACCUGGUCGCGAACGACGUCGCUUCUCACUUCCGAUGCAUACAUGACCGCCAAAAGAAAAAAACAGGGGCGAGAAGUGUAUUCUGGUGAAGUCUGACGAGUCUCCGGAAAAGAUCCGAUUUAGCAUGUGAAAAGGAAUGCAGCAGGGUGAGGACUACCAGUUGGUUAAGUUAAAGAUAAUUAACUUCAAGCAAGAAAGAACAAGUUGUGGUGGUUGAAAGACGCGGUCCUGAUGCUACGUGGUUAUUGAACGUUUAUCAUGCUCAUAGAUGGGGAAGGAUGUUGUUAAUUUGGUUGACUAGAAGCACCAGAAGAAGAAGAACGAGGUUGUGAUUUCUUCGGUGUGUGAAACGCUAAAAGUAGAUGAGGCAACAAAAGAGCAUGUUAGGCGGUUUAUGCCUAAAUUAACCGGUCUGGAUGUUGUUGGGAAGACGAGCAACUCUGGCUUGGACUUUAAAGCAGAAGUGGGACCUAUAGAUCAAACUUCUCAAACUUAGGAUCCAAAUAACAUUUUCAAACUAACAUCUGGUUAUGUCUUUAAUCAUGUGAGAAUCUUGAAAUUGUUAAUAAACUCAAUUGCAUCUUAUUGGUUACUAGCAUUACUGAGAUACCACAUGUCCACCUGAUUGAAAGGUUAAGGUUGACAUGGGUGAGCCAAUGUUGAUAAUUUCUCAGGCAAAAAGAGAACUUGCCAUGUGAAG
rnacentral:lncRNA from 1 species